AAAAAAGCAAACUCUGGAUUUUCGUAUCCAAUUUUGAUUGUCCGUCUUAUAUGAAAUUUUUUUAUAAUUCACAUUUUCGUUGUUGUUAGAUGAUAAAACAUGAUUAAUAUUUUAUGUGUGACUUGUCUUUUUAAUUUUUUUCAUAAUUUUUUUAAAUAAGACGGACACGUUAAGUACGGAAACCAAG
rnacentral:pre_miRNA from 1 species